UAGAUGUAAGAUAACUCCUGCCCAGUGACAUAGUUCAACGGCCGCGGUAUCCUAACCGUGCAAAGGUAGCAUAAUCACUUGCCUAUUAAUUGUAGGCUAGAAUGAAAGGGUAAACGAAAUAAAAACUGUCUCAGCUAGUAAUCUAAAAAUUAAUCUCCAUAUGAAGAAAUAUGGAUACCUUCGAAGGACAAGAAGACCCUAUAGAGCUUUAUCUAGACACAGCACAUAGCUGAACAAGAUUCGGUUGGGGCGACCAUGGGACCAUAAAACACCCAAAAUAUCACAGAUACCUAUAUCAGAACUAUGACCCUAGUAAGAUCACAAAAUCAAGCUACCUUAGGGAUAACAGGCUAAUCCUGCUAAAGAGUCCAUAUCUAUAGUGGGGGUUGGCACCUCGAUGUUGGCUUAGGGUAUCACCAUAGCGCAAAAGCUGUAUAAAGAUGGUUUGUUCAACCAAUAUCC
rnacentral:rRNA from 1 species